UAGAGUUUGAUCAUGGCUCAGAUUGAACGCUGGCGGCAGGCCUAACACAUGCAAGUCGAGCGGUAACAGAAAAGAAGCUUGCUUCUUUUGCUGACGAGCGGCGGACGGGUGAGUAAUGCCUGGGAAUAUACCCUGAUGUGGGGGAUAACUAUUGGAAACGAUAGCUAAUACCGCAUAAUCUCUUCGGAGCAAAGAGGGGGACCUUCGGGCCUCUCGCGUCAGGAUUAGCCCAGGUGGGAUUAGCUAGUUGGUGAGGUAAUGGCUCACCAAGGCGACGAUCCCUAGCUGGUCUGAGAGGAUGAUCAGCCACACUGGAACUGAGACACGGUCCAGACUCCUACGGGAGGCAGCAGUGGGGAAUAUUGCACAAUGGGGGAAACCCUGAUGCAGCCAUGCCGCGUGUAUGAAGAAGGCCUUCGGGUUGUAAAGUACUUUCAGUUGUGAGGAAGGCAGUUAAGUUAAUAGCUUGGCUGUUUGACGCUAGCAACAGAAGAAGCACCGGCUAACUCCGUGCCAGCAGCCGCGGUAAUACGGAGGGUGCGAGCGUUAAUCGGAAUUACUGGGCGUAAAGCGCAUGCAGGCGGUCUGUUAAGCAAGAUGUGAAAGCCCGGGGCUCAACCUCGGAACAGCAUUUUGAACUGGCAGACUAGAGUCCUGUAGAGGGGGGUAGAAUUUCA
rnacentral:rRNA from 1 species